ensembl:snRNA U6 U6 spliceosomal RNA
GUGCUUGCUUGGGCAGCACAAAUACUAAAAUUGGAGCUAUACAGAGAAGAUUAGCAUGGCCCCUGCACAAGGAUGACGCCCAAACUUGUGACGUGUUCCAUAUUUUU